rnacentral:rRNA from 1 species
GUCGUACGAAAGUUUUAAACUUAAGUGGCGGACGGGUGAGUAACACGUGAGAAUUUACCUUUAGGAGGAGGAUAACAACUAGAAAUGGUUGCUAAUACUCCAUAUGCUUUAUUAGUGAAAUAGAAUUAUCUGCCUGAAGAGAAGCUCGCGCCUGAUUAGCUUGUUGGUAAGGUAAUAGCUUACCAAGGCGACGAUCAGUAUCUGGUUUGAGAGGAUGAUCAGACACACUGGAACUGAGACACGGUCCAGACUCCUACGGGAGGCAGCAGUGGGGAAUUUUCCGCAAUGGGCGAAAGCCUGACGGAGCAAUACCACGUGAGGGAAGAAUGCCUAUGGGUUGUAAACCUCUUUUUUCGGUGAGGAAUUAAUGACGUGUACCCGAAGAAUAAGCAUCGGCUAACUCCGUGCCAGCAGCCGCGGUAAGACGGAGGAUGCAAGUGUUAUCCGGAAUCACUGGGCGUAAAGCGUCUGUAGGUGGUUUAAUAAGUCAACUGUUAAAUCUUGAAGCUUAACUUCAAAACUGCAGUCGAAACUAUUAAACUAGAGUAUAGUAGAGGUAAAGGGAAUUUCCAGUGAAGCGGUGAAAUGCGUAGAGAUUGGAAAGAACACCGAUGGCGAAGGCACUUUACUGGGCUAGUUACUAACACUCAGAGACGAAAGCUAGGGUAGCAAAUGGGAUUAGAUACCCCAGUAGUCCUAGCUGUAAACGAUGGAUACUAGAUGUUGAACAGAUCGACCUGUGCAGUAUUAAAGCUAACGCGUUAAGUAUCCCGCCUGGGAAGUAUGCUCGCAAGAGUGAAACUCAAAGG